GUGGAAACGCAGGGAGAGCGUCUCGGAUCAUUGACAACUAAAUAGGAAGCAGCAACGUCCAAUUAAAGGGCCCUGAUCACGAAACACAGUAAUAAAAUGAAAUCUGGAGAGUUUGAUCCUGGCUCAGAACGAACGCUGGCGGCGUGCCUAACACAUGCAAGUACCAACGUGAAAGGGGAGCAAUCCCCCGGUAGGGUGGCAAACGGGUGAGUAAUACAUGGGUGAUCUACCUUAGGGAUGGGGAUAUCCUUC
rnacentral:rRNA from 1 species